UGGCCUCCCAAAGUGCUGGGAUUACAGGCGUGAACCACCAUGCCUAACCUGAGCUGGGCUAGCAGCAGGAAUCACAUUAAACAUUGCUGGUAACAAUCGCUUAGUGCCAGUAGAAAGAGUUACAGGUGAAGAUUUUUGGAUUCUUUCCAAAAUUUUAAAGAAUUGUCUGUAUAUUAAUGGUUUGGAUGUUGGAUAUAACCUUCUAUGUGAUGUUGGUGCAUACUAUGCUGCGAAACUGCUUCAGAAACAACUUAAUCUCAUUUACUUAAACCUCAUGUUUAAUGAUAUUGGGCCCGAAGGUGGAGAAUUGAUUGCUAAAGUGCUACAUAAGAAUCGGACUCUGAAAUACCUAAGAAUGACUGGAAACAAAAUUGAAAAUAAAGGUGGAAUGUUUUUUGCUGCAAUGCUGCAAAUUAAUUCAUCAUUAGAGAAAUUAGAUCUGGGUGACUGUGAUCUGGGAAUGCAAAGUGUGAUAGCAUUUGCUACAGUACUAACUCAAAACCAAGCAAUUAAGGCAAUAAACCUAAACCGACCUAUACUGUAUGGUGAACAGGAAGAGUCUACAGUCCAUGUAGGCCGCAUGUUGAAAGAAAAUCACUGUCUUGUUGCACUACACAUGUGUAAGCAUGAUAUAAAAAACAGUGGUAUACAACAGUUAUGUGAUGCACUGUAUCUGAACAGUAGCCUGCGCUACCUUGAUGUCAGCUGCAACAAAAUAACUCAUGAUGGAAUGGUGUAUUUGGCUGAUGUACUGAAAAGCAACACUACCCUGGAAGUAAUAGAUCUUUCCUUUAACAGAAUAGAAAAUGCAGGCGCAAACUAUCUCAGUGAAACUCUUACUUCACACAACAGGAGUCUUAAAGCGUUAGUAUGGUUUUAUAUUUAAUCAAAAUAACAGAAAAGCAAAUUUUUA
rnacentral:sRNA from 1 species